rnacentral:rRNA from 1 species
GACGAACGCUGGCGGCGUGCCUAAUACAUGCAAGUAGAACGCUGAAGCUUGGUGCUUGCACCGAGCGGAUGAGUUGCGAACGGGUGAGUAACGCGUAGGUAACCUGCCUGGUAGCGGGGGAUAACUAUUGGAAACGAUAGCUAAUACCGCAUAACAGUAGAUAUCGCAUGAUAUGUGCUUGAAAGGUGCAAUUGCAUCACUACCAGAUGGACCUGCGUUGUAUUAGCUAGUUGGUGAGGUAACGGCUCACCAAGGCAACGAUACAUAGCCGACCUGAGAGGGUGAUCGGCCACACUGGGACUGAGACACGGCCCAGACUCCUACGGGAGGCAGCAGUAGGGAAUCUUCGGCAAUGGACGGAAGUCUGACCGAGCAACGCCGCGUGAGUGAAGAAGGUUUUCGGAUCGUAAAGCUCUGUUGUAAGAGAAGAACGAGUGUGAGAGUGGAAAGUUCACACUGUGACGGUAUCUUACCAGAAAGGCGGCUA